UAGAGUUUGAUCAUGGCUCAGAACGAACGCUGGCGGCAGGCCUAACACAUGCAAGUCGAACGGGACCUUCGGGUCUAGUGGCGGACGGGUGAGUAACGCGUGGGAACGUGCCCUUUGGUUCGGAAUAGCCCCGGGAAACUGGGAGUAAUACCGGAUGUGCUCGAGAGAGGAAAGAUUUAUCGCCAAAGGAUCGGCCCGCGUUGGAUUAGAUAGUUGGUGAGGUAACGGCUCACCAAGCCGACGAUCCAUAGCUGGUUUGAGAGGAUGAUCAGCCACAUUGGGACUGAGACACGGCCCAAACUCCUACGGGAGGCAGCAGUGGGGAAUAUUGGACAAUGGGCGCAAGCCUGAUCCAGCCAUGCCGCGUGAUCGAUGAAGGCCUUAGGGUUGUAAAGAUCUUUCAGUGGGGAAGAUAAUGACUGUACCCACAGAAGAAGCCCCGGCUAACUCCGUGCCAGCAGCCGCGGUAAU
rnacentral:rRNA from 1 species